ensembl:lncRNA
CAGGGGCGUGGAACACCUUCCCAGCAUCCAGUAAAGCCAGCAGGACAGGGGCGUGGAACACCUUCUCAGCAUACAGUGAACCAACAAGACAGGGGUGUGGAACACCUUCUCAGAAUCCAGUGAAACCAGCAGGACAGGGGUCGUCUGUUCGUUUACUUGAUCUAUAAUAUCAAAAAGACGAUGGAUGUUAUCAGAAGAGUACCUGUCUCUAAUAAAUCCAGUUUGGUCCGCUUGUAAUAUUUUGCCGUGUGCUGUGUCUACUGGCGCUGACCAUGGCCAUCCUCUCCUCUACAUUGGAAGUGCGUUCCCAGGGAAUGAGGCCUCUAAAUUGCUGUUUGAAGACAUCCAAAAAACGUCCAGCAGAACCAAUCACACUGUGUCUUAUUCAGAUGCCUCGUGGGAAAUGUAACCUCAAAGC